rnacentral:lncRNA from 1 species
ACCGAGGCCAGACAGGAAGCCUCGGCCCACGGGGCCGUGUUUGGCAGGGACUCUCUUCAGGAGUGGGGCGGGGCUGGGAAGACGAGGCGGGGCAGGGGUGGAGAAAUGCGGAGCCGCGGGGGACGCUGGGAGCCGCGGGGGACGCUGGGAGCCGCAGGGGACGCUGGGAGGCGCUGCCGUGAAGGCCGCCGGGCGCGGAGAUUGGAAUGGUAAAGGGAAUGGAAGAUUUGCUGCCAGAGUUAAUGGUGACUUCUGGGACAUCCGACUGGAUCCUAUGGAGAGCAUAGAGACCCUAAGAAAGCUGCUGUGGAAUCCCUUAGAUACUAAGAAACCAGGGUGGCAGGGACUGACAUCACUGGGAAGGGUAAGACGGUACUGAGUCCGAAAUAACUUGAACGACUGUCCUCUCCAUCUCCUCCGCUCUGUGGUGGUAGCUUUGAAAAUCGGCACUCUCGCAAACAUAGUAGUUAUAAAAACGAGUGCGUUGUAGCCCCCGG